CGGAUUGCAGCCUGCAACUCGGCUGCAUGAAGCUGGAAUCGCUAGUAAUCGCGAAUCAGAAUGUCGCGGUGAAUACGUUCCCGGGUCUUGUACACACCGCCCGUCACACCAUGGGAGUCGGGAACGCCCGAAGUCGGUGACCCAACCGUAAGGAGGGAGCCGCCGAAGGCGGGCCUGGUGACUGGGGUGAAGUCGUAACAAGGUAAC
rnacentral:rRNA from 1 species